rnacentral:rRNA from 1 species
GUGCCAGCAGCCGCGGUAAUACGUAGGGGGCGAGCGUUGUCCGAAUUUACUGGGCGUAAAGCGCGCGUAGGCGGGUUGCUAAGUUGGGGGUGAAAUCCCGAGGCUCAACCUCGGAACUGCCCCCAAAACUGGCAGCCUGGAGGUAUGGAGAGGGAAGUGGAAUUCCUGGUGUAGCGGUGAAAUGCGUAGAUAUCAGGAGGAACACCUGUGGCGAAGGCGGCUUCCUGGCCAUAUCCUGACGCUGAGGUGCGAAAGCUAGGGGAGCAAACGGGAUUAGAUACCCCGGUAGUCCUAGCCGUAAACGAUGGAUACUAGGUGUUAGAGGUAUCGACCCCUCUAGUGCCGCAGCUAACGCAUUAAGUAUCCCGCCUGGGGAGUACGACCGCAAGGUUGAAACUUAAAUGAAUUGACGGGG